GGUCAAGAUAGUAAGGGCAUACGGUGGAUGCCUUGGCAUCAGGCGGCGAAGAAGGGCGUGGCAGGCUACGAAAAUCCACGGGGAGCUGCGAGCAAGCCUCGAUCCGUGGGUACCCGAAUGGGGCAACCCGGUUCCGGUAAUACGGGAUCAUCCCG
rnacentral:rRNA from 1 species